UAGGGAAUCUUCCGCAAUGGGCGAAAGCCUGACGGAGCAACGCCGCGUGAGUGAUGAAGGUCUUCGGAUCGUAAAACUCUGUUAUUAGGGAAGAACAAAUGUGUAAGUAACUAUGCACGUCUUGACGGUACCUAAUCAGAAAGCCACGGCUAACUACGUGCCAGCAGCCGCGGUAAUACGUAGGUGGCAAGCGUUAUCCGGAAUUAUUGGGCGUAAAGCGCGCGUAGGCGGUUUUUUAAGUCUGAUGUGAAAGCCCACGGCUCAACCGUGGAGGGGCAUUGGAAACUGGAAAACUUGAAUGCAGAAGAAGAAAGUGGAAUUCCAAGUGUAGCGGUGAAAUGCGCAGAGAUAUGGGGGAACACCAGUGGCGAAGGCGGCUUUCUGGUCUGUAACUGACGCUGAUGUGCGAAAGCGUGGGGAUCAAACAGG
rnacentral:rRNA from 1 species